AACCGCCGUAUACGAGAACCGUACGUACGGUGGUGUGAGAGGACGGAGGGUCGAACCCUCCUCCUACUCGAU
rnacentral:misc_RNA from 1 species